UACGUAGGGCGCGAGCGUUGUCCGGAUUUAUUGGGCGUAAAGAGCUCGUAGGCGGCUUGUCGCGUCGUCCGUGAAAACCUGCAGCUCAACUGCAGGCUUGCGGUCGAUACGGGCAGGCUAGAGUUCGGUAGGGGAGACUGGAAUUCCUGGUGUAGCAGUGAAAUGCGUAGAUAUCAGGAGGAACACCGAUGGCGAAGGCAGGUCUCUGGGCAGUAACUGACGCUGAGGAGCGAAAGCGUGGGAGCGAACAGG
rnacentral:rRNA from 1 species